UCCAAGCCCUCAAGAGGGAGGCAAAGAAGAGUUCAGUGUGACCAAAGUCCAGACUACGUGCAAACCUGCAGCCAGGCCCUUCUCCCAGGCCUUGUCAGCGCAGAGGCCAGGGGCAGCUGCAAAGGGAAGCGGAGCCGGCUGGGGCAGAAGCGGGGUCCUGCAGCGCACAGCAAGCCCGCUGCCCAGCCUGCACGAGCGGUCGAAAGACACCUGCAACAUGAGACUGCGGCAUUUACAUCUUGCUCCUGCCCUGCUGUCAGAACUGCUGGUGAAACGCCCACCACCAACACGCGGCUGCCACAGACCGUGCCCACCUGUAUGCUUCUGGUGGUGAUGGCUCUGCAUGGCUUCACCCAGCAACUCUGCUACUGAAGUAUGAAGUGCACUUGGUGGGGGCACCUGCUGCUGAAUGAGCUGUGGCAGGCAAUUCUAGAGGGACGCUAGGAGCUGAUGCUCUGAAACAAGAGUGGAGCCUUGAAGGGAUGGAAGAUGGUCCGUGGAGGAUAUGUAUUGUGCUACAUCAUCUGCUUCGACUACUGAUGAACUGAACAGGGAUAGAUUUUAGGGGGAGAUGAUUGGAGAGUCCAGUAACAACACACCAACACCACCACCACCACCACAGAGGACUUGGGUCAUCCUGGAAUAGUGACAACUCCUAGUCUCUUUAUCCAUUUCAGUAAGGCUCUCCUUGCCAAAUAGUCCUGUCCCUGAGUGCAGAUGCACAAAUCUCUGCAGAUUAAUACAAUUCAUCCAGUUUUUGGCUUUGGAUAGAAGCUGAAAAUCACCCUCCAUUGAGUGGAGAAGCAAUAAACAAAAAUGGAAAAAAUA